rnacentral:tRNA from 1 species
GGGAAAAAUAAGUGAGGCAAGUUGCUGAUUCGUAAGCUCAGUAGCGCUAACUGUUAAUCAGUAGGUCCAAGGUUCGAAUCCUUGACGGCCCACCA